rnacentral:rRNA from 1 species
CGGACGGGACCGCAGAGUCUGCCCCCGGUAUUCAGCUCGUCCUCUUCGUCGGCCGCGUCCGUCGCCAAACGACACCCUCUGAGCGGGUGCCAUGGCGGGCGUGAGCGCGGCGGGGGACGCGUGCACUUUCCGGGGUGCGGUGCGUCACGACCGGUUCGGCGGAGGUCAGAAGGCCGGCGGGAUGGUGGCCAGUCGUUCGCGUCUGGUGGUAUAGCCCGCCUGCGUCGCAGGCCCUCAGCCGGACCGAGGAGGAUCCGCGUCUGCCUUAGGGCGCGGGGCCCGGGGCCUCCCGUGCUGCCUCCGUGCCGGGACUGCUCUCGCAGUGCCGUGCGCGGCUUGGCGGUCGGGACGGACUCCGCUCCCCCCGUAACGGCGUCUAGGGUCGGUGGCGAUAUUGUCGGCAACCCGUCCGACCCGUCU